rfam:Gossypium raimondii Chr05_contig_1319, whole genome shotgun sequence.
UAUUAAAAAGUUCAGCCAUUUCAAUUGCUAAAAACUAGCGUGGUUAACGGAAUAACCAAACAAUACCUCAUGUUGACAUAUAAGACCAGUUUUUAACAGUAGAAACGGAUGAAGUUUUCAACA